UGGCUCAGAACGAACGCUGGCGGCAGGCCUAAUACAUGCAAGUCGAACGAUCCUUCGGGAUAGUGGCGGACGGGUGAGUAACACGUGGGAACGUGCCCUUAGGUUCGGAACAACUCAGGGAAACUUGAGCUAAUACCGAAUGUGCCCUACGGGGGAAAGAUUUAUCGCCUUUGGAGCGGCCCGCGUCUGAUUAGCUAGUUGGUGAGGUAAAGGCUCACCAAGGCGGCAAUCAGUAGCUGGUCUGAGAGGAUGAUCAGCCACACUGGGACUUCGCCACGGCCCAGAAUCCUACGGGAGGC
rnacentral:rRNA from 1 species